AUAUUGAAAAAAUUCGUGAAUAAGAGAGGCCCUCCACUAUGAACUUUACCACGAAUUCAUAGAACAAUUGAGGAGUGGCGUGAAUUUAUUUCAUCUUUUUCUCAUCGUUUUCGGGUGGGGCGAUUGAGGUUAAAGUCGAACUGUUUGCUUUUUUAUUACAUACAAAAUGAAAGUAAUGAGUCAAAGUGUCAAGGCUGCGUCAAGAUUUAUUGCUUUUUUCAGAUACAU
ensembl:ncRNA ZC250.9 ncRNA